rnacentral:lncRNA from 1 species
GAAGGAAUGGUCACAAGUGAGGGCUGGUUCUUGUCAGGUGACCUUACUGAUGAAGACAAUCGGAAGAACAGAGCUUAUAUUAAAGUGGUUAAUAUGACUCUGAAGUAGCAGUUAGACUGCCUUCUCGAUCUUGUUAAAAGAUAACAAUUUUAAUUUAUUUUAUUUUUCCAAUUUCUAUAAAAACAAUGUUAUUCCUUAUCUUCAGCUGUGAUAAAGUGGUACAUGUAGGUAAUUCUAAGCCAAGGAUUGUUAUAUACCACAGAAGAAGUGUGAUACAGAGUGGAAAAGGCAGUAAAAUGGAAACUGAGACAUUGAGUUAGCAGGAAGACUACUGGAAGGAACACCCUGCAUGACUGAAUCCAGUUUCCUGCUAGCGCAGUCAGACAUAGGUAAGGGAUUGUAACAUAAAUUGAUCAAGCAACAUCUCAGAAGCAGAUAGGAUCUUUAUGUUGACUCUGCUGUGUAAAAAUGCUGGGAUUCUGCUCUAGAACACCAUGGCCCAAGAAACUUUAAUUUAGUUUAUGUUUGUUCAUACACCCGUUGACCUUCAUUUCUCUUACUGCAUUCAUAUUGGAUCAUUCCAGUACUUACACUGAUAUUCCACACACCUGCUUCACUUUUAUGAACUUCACUCUUAAGUCUCUUCAAUAUCUUUGUCAAAUUAUUUCCUUUGGUGAUGAAGCC